rnacentral:lncRNA from 1 species
UCUAGUUGCAAGAACAAAAAACAAAUCAGGGUGCAACACCUACUAAUAACGUGUAAUGGCAUAUGACUAGAAAUCUAGAAUAUAUAUUAUAACAUGAGAGUAAGAAGCCAAUCUGUAAUCUGCACUAAAUUAGGUCAUACAUCAAAAGAAAAAUGAAUAAAAACACAAAGACAGUGAUUCGUAGAUGAAUCAAAUACUGCCAGAACAACAGCUAUGCUUAUGUAAACAUGCAGCAAUCUAAACUUUUGAAAAUAGUUAGUACCAUGCACCGAUUUUUUAUAAGCAUAUAUGAUAACUUUUCAAAGAAUGGUAUCAGCGGCAGUGAAGUAUGAAAUCUGCAAAUUUACCGACUCAAUAUAUAUGACACUUAAUUGAUAGCCAAUGAUACUGGCAGAUAAAUCAUCUCUAACAGUCUGACACAAUGCAAAAGAAAAAUGUGGCAUUGCUGAAAAAGAUCCAAGAGCAAGCAACUACUAGUUCUACUUUUGCUUUGGAAGCUCACCGAGGGGAUCUAUACU